rnacentral:rRNA from 1 species
GAUGAACGCUGGCGGCGUGCUUAACACAUGCAAGUCGAACGGAAAGGCCCUUGCUUGCAGGGGUACUCGAGUGGCGAACGGGUGAGUAACACGUGGGUGAUCUGCCCUGCACUUCGGGAUAAGCCUGGGAAACUGGGUCUAAUACCGGAUAGGACCAUCGUUUAGUGGCGGUGGGGGAAAGUUUUUUCGGUGUGGGAUGAGCUCGCGGCCUAUCAGCUUGUUGGUGGGGUAAUGGCCUACCAAGGCGUCGACGGGUAGCCGGCCUGAGAGGGUGUACGGCCACAUUGGGACUGAGAUACGGCCCAGACUCCUACGGGAGGCAGCAGUGGGGAAUAUUGCACAAUGGGCGCAAGCCUGAUGCAGCGACGCCGCGUGGGGGAUGACGGCCUUCGGGUUGUAAACUCCUUUCGUCAGGGACGAAGCGAAAGUGACGGUACCUGGAUAAGAAGCACCGGCUAACUACGUG